GGAUCAAAUCAAGCGCGAAAAGGGCGUUUGGUGAAUGCCUUGGCAGUAAGAGGCGAUGAAAGACGUGAUACUCUGCGAUAAGCCAUGGGGAGCCGAGAAUAUGCUUUGAUCCAUGGAUUUCUGAAUGGGGCAACCCACCUGACUGUUUGUUAUUGUUAGCUCUGCUAUCAAUAAUGAGCAUAAACAGGUACUUAUUAUCUGAAUACAUAGGGUUUUAAGAGCAAACCCGGGGAACUGAAACAUCUAAGUACCCGGAGGAAAGGACAUCAAUUGAUACUCCCCUAGUAGCGCCGAGCGAACGGGGACCAGCCGAGCCAUAAUUGCGACCAGAACAUUCUGGAAAGGAUGACCAUAGUGGGUGACAGUCCCGUAUGGGAAGCAUGAUUGGACGUAUUAAGUAGGGCGGAACACGUGAAAUUCUGUCUGAAGAUCGGAGGACCACCUUCGAAGGCUAAGUACUCCUUACUGACCGAUAGUGAACCAGUACCGUGAGGAAAGGUGAAAAGCACCCCGACGAGGGAGUGAAACAGUCCCUGAAACCGAACGCCUACAAUCAGUCGGAGCACCCUAGCGGUGUGACGGCGUACCUUUUGUAUAAUGGGUCAUCGACUUGGUCUAUCUAGCAAGCUUAAGCCGUUAGGUGUAGGCGCACGCGAAAGCGAGUCUUAAUAGGGCGCAUGAGUUAGAUGGAUCAGACCCGAAACCGAGUGAUCUAGGCAUGACCAGGUUGAAGGUAAGGUAACACUUACUGGAGGACCGAACCCACACCUGUUGAAAAAGGUCGGGAUGAGUUGUGCCUAGGGGUGAAAGGCCAAUCAAACUCGGAGAUAGCUGGUUCUCCGCGAAAUCUAUUUAGGUAGAGCGUCAUCCGAAUACCCCGGGGGGUAGAGCACUGGAUGGGUAAUGGGGCCCCACAGGCUUACUGAUCCUAACCAAACUCCGAAUACCCGGGAGUACUAGAUGGCAGACACACGGCGGAUGCUAACGUCCGUCGUGGAGAGGGAAACAACCCUGACCUACAGCUAAGGCCCCCAAUUCAUGGCUAAGUGGGAAAGCAGGUGGGACGACCAAAACAACCAGGAGGUUGGCUUAGAAGCAGCCAUCCUUUAAAGAUAGCGUAACAGCUCACUGGUCUAAUUAAGUUGUCCUGCGGCGAAGAUGUAACGGGGCUCAAGCCAUGAGCCGAAGCUUAGGAUGCAUUUAAUGCACGGUAGCGGAGCGUAGUGUGACAUAGCACCGUUCCUCUUUUGCGGUUUGGUAUGAGCAAUCAUACCCUGCGUAAUGGAGGAAAUGGUGUUUUCUGUGAAGCCGGGCUGUAAGGCAUCCGGUGGAGAGAUCACUAGUGAGAAUGAUGACAUGAGUAGCGACAAAGAGUGUGAGAGACACUCUCGCCGAAAAUCCAAGGGUUCCUGCUUAAAGCUAAUCUGAGCAGGGUGAGCCGACCCCUAAGUCGAGGCCGAAAGGCGUAGACGAUGGGAACCAGGUUAAUAUUCCUGGGCCAGGAGGAUGUGACGGAUUGUGAAGGUUGUUUCCCCUUAUUGGAUUGGGGAGGCCGCUGAUCAGUUCCUGGAAAUAGCCCUCCAUGAGAUCGUACCCUAAACCGACACAGGUGGAUAGGUAGAGAAUACCAAGGCGCUUGAGAGAACUACGUUGAAGGAACUCGGCAAAAUACCUCCGUAAGUUCGCGAGAAGGAGGCCCAGUUUCUACGCAAGUAUUGGCUGGGGGCACAAACCAGGGGGUGGCGACUGUUUACUAAAAACACAGGGCUCUGCGAAGUCGCAAGACGACGUAUAGGGUCUGACGCCUGCCCGGUGCCUGAAGGUUAAAAGGAGAUGUGAGAGCGUCGAAUUGAAGCCCAGGUAAACGGCGGCCGUAACUAUAACGGUCCUAAGGUA
rnacentral:rRNA from 1 species